GGCGUGGUAGCUCAGCUGGUUAGAGCGCAGCAUUCAUAAUGCUGAGGUCGGCAGUUCAAGCCUGCCUCACGCUACUA
rnacentral:tRNA from 1 species